CUACGGGUCGCUGCAGUGGGGAAUAUUGCACAAUGGGCGCAAGCCUGAUGCAGCCAUGCCGCGUGUAUGAAGAAGGCCUUCGGGUUGUAAAGUACUUUCAGCGGGGAGGAAGGGAGUAAAGUUAAUACCUUUGCUCAUUGACGUUACCCGCAGAAGAAGCACCGGCUAACUCCGUGCCAGCAGCCGCGGUAAUACGGGGGUGCAAGCGUUAAGCGGAAUUACUGGGCGUAAAGCGCACGCAGGCGGUUUGUUAAGUCAGAUGUGAAAUCCCCGGGCUCAACCUGGGAACUGCAUCUGAUACUGGCAAGCUUGAGUCUCGAAGAGGGGGGUAGAAUUCCAGGUGUAGCGGUGAAAUGCGUAGAGAUCUGGAGGAAUACCGGUGGCGAAGGCGGCCCCCUGGACGAAGACUGACGCUCAGGUGCGAAAGCGUGGGGAGCAAACAGGAUUAGAUACCCGUGUAGUC
rnacentral:rRNA from 1 species